GAGGAAGGGAUUGAGGGAGGCGCUGCUGGUGGGGGGCGGCUGCUCAGCGGAGGGACGCGCUGCCUGGGAUCCUGUACCGGCGGCGGGGCAGCGGAGGUUUGGGCCGGCUGGGCGCGACGCGGCGGAGGGACACCGGUGGUGGCGGUGGGUCGGCCGGCGGCGGAUAGUAACCCUAGCUGUCGCGCUCGGGAAGGAGGCCCUGUCUGGUCUGGUGAGUCGGGGGAGCUCUUGGGGACGUCCGCUCGCUUGAGGGAAUAGGCCGUGCACCUCAGAGAUACGUGGCAAGCAUCCGUGAGACCGGAAGUGGAGCCCCGGCUUUUUUUCUUCUCACAUCUCCGUUUUCCUUGCCAAAAGAAUAAUUCUAAAAAUAUAUAGAGUACAUAACAAUAAGACUACUCACAAUGACGAGUAACAUAAAAGUAGUAACAUAUAAUCCCUUCGUUUCAAAAUAAGUGACUCAAAACUGAUUUAAAUUUACACUAACUUUAGUAUAAAGUUAAGUUAUUUUUGAGUCACUUAUUUUGGGACAGAGGGAGUAUAUAUUACUAGUCUAAGUUAUUACCUCCACAGUCAAUAGUAACAUAGGGGUACUUCCUUGGUCUCAGUUUACAAGUCUGACACAUGUAUCUAGGUCGUUAAUUUGACCAAUUUAAUGAGAGGCAUAUAUAACAAAAAUAUAUAUGAUUGGAAACUUUAGAUGUUCUAUUUUGUAAUGAUAUAAUUUUUAUGUUAAACAAUAUAUUUUAUAUAAGUUAAAUUGAUGAUCUAAGUACACGUGCAUGCCUUUAAACUGUGACGAAGGGGGUAGUAACAUUGAGUCUUUCAUUUAUUAGCCUAUAGACUCAUCUUGCCUUGGUAUCCGAUAUGUUACUUCUAGUAUGCUAAGUUACUCAAUUUCUCUUUUUUCAUUAAUUAGUUGACAAAUCAUAUUUCUUGCUUAGGUGGCAUCUAUGUUACUACCUAUGUUACUCUCAUUGUGGGUAGUCUAAUGGACGCGUUUGGUAGGCUGCAUAGAGCCCAACCAGACCAUAACGAAAAGAAAAUGAGCCGUUUGAUUGUGUGCAAGGAGGCCUGGUUCACAUCGGCAUGAAACUUAGGGUGUGUUCGGUUGGGGACCAAGUGAAAUGUCUUUCAUCUUGGUGUUCGGUUAGAAUGGAACAAUAUAGGAUGAAAUGGUUCUUAGGAGAAGAACGGAGAAGCACCCCACACCAGGGCAGCGGCGGCGGCGCACACGGUCGAGCAGCGGCGGCGGCGGACGUGGACGAGCGACGGUAGCGAUGCAUGCGGAAGAGCAGUAGCGGCCGCGCACACGGACGAGCAGCGGCGGCCGCGCACGCAAGCGAGCAGGUGUCUGUCUCUCCCGCUCUAGUCGGAUUGGAUUUGAUGAAAANNNNNNNNNNNNNNNNNNNNNNNNNNNNNNNNNNNNNNNNNNNNNNNNNNNNNNNNNNNNNNNNNNNNNNNNNNNNNNNNNNNNNNNNNNNNNNNNNNNNNNNNNNNNNNNNNNNNNNNNNNNNNNNNNNNNNNNNNNNNNNNNNNNNCAUCCUUUUUUUUUCAAGCAGAAGACGGCAUACGAGAUCUCAGUCUUGUCUCGUGGGCUCGGAGAUGUGUAUAAGAGACAGCGGAUGAGCGGCGGCGGCAGCGACGCACGCGGAUGAGCGGCGGCGGCCGCACACGCGGGCGAGCAGCUGCAGAGACGGCGAAGCACGCGGACGAGCAGCAGUGGAGGACACACGCGGGAAAGCAACGGCGGAGCACACGCGCAGGCGAGGCGGCACGAGAGAAGGGUCGGUUCCGCGUGGUCCGUUCGAUUUGGAGAGACCGCGCGGAACGGCAUAUCCAGGGAAUAUGUCAUUCCCUGGAAUCGACUGGUUCCGGUUCCUCUGUCAAUCCAAACACGUGAAUGGGCCUUUGGGACGGAACCGGCUCGUGUCGUUCCACUUGGUUCCCCCAACUGAACACACCCUUAAAGCACCCAAGAGCCUAGCUCACCGGAAAUGCUCGAACUAGCAGUUUAUAGUGAGCCCGGCUAAGUCGGACGCAAAAGCAAAACACGGCGUAGGCGUGGUGCAGGGGGGAUUCGGUCGGAGAUGGCGGUAGGGGGAAAUCGACGGAGGCGGGAUAGCGUGAAAUAUACCCUCACCAUCCCAUUAACUCGCUCAGCCCUAACUCUAGGACAAUCCAUCCUCCCUUAUUCGCACCAACGGUGACGAUGACUCAAAUCUGUGGUUUGCGACGACGACGGCGGCAUUGGUGGCGGAAGCAGCACUCCCCGACAGCGGCAGCUGCUUCUCCCCUUCUUUUUUGACUUCGUUCGCCCAUCCUCGUCCCCUCAUGUCUCUUCCGACCCCGAAGCUGAUAAGCUACCCCCUCCUCUGUUAGGACCAUUUAGGGUUGGUAGCGCCAUCAUUGACCGCAUCAUGGAUAUCGCUUAGGUUGUCGAUGAACGGACGAAGCUUCAGCAUCGCUGAUAGCUGUGGUUCAGGCCUGGAUCAUGUUGGUCCAUAAGAGAGUUGUACAUCGGAAAGAGAAGCCUUUCAUCCGGUAUGGUCCGAUGUUACUCCGGGAUAAGGAGAGGAUGGAGAAUCUGAACUACAUCUACAACUACAACGACAUAGAGGCUUUAUGGAUGCUUUGCAUGAAAAUAGCUCCUUUCGUCGGGCUUGUGCAACCGUUCAGUAAAAGGGCUGCUAGAAGAUAGCAUCCACGUUGUGGAAGAGCAAGUAGCCAUGUUCAUGCAUGUUGUUGGUCAUAACUGUUGGGAAACGAAGCAUGGAAAACAAAAAAAUCUACGAACACCCAAGAUCUAUAUAUGAAGAUGCAUAAUAACGACAGGAAGAGUGUGUCUACGUAUCCUUGUAGACCGUUAAGCGGAAGCGUUUAUAACGCAGUUGAUGUAGUCGUACUUCUUUACGAUCGAAUCAUGAUCCGUCCCGAUCUAGCGUCGAACGGAUGGUACCUUCGCAUUCAACACACGUGUAGUUCGAUGACGUCUCCACCUCCUCGAUCCAGUGAGCGAGGGUGGAGUAGUAGAUGGGAUCUCCAGCAGCACGAUGAGGCGACGGUGAUGGUGAUGGUGCUAUCCCGGCAAGUCUUUGACGAGCGCUACCGAAAUCGCGGCCGGAGGAGAAAAGGGAGUAGGAAGAAAGGGAGGGUUGCGCCAAAGGCUUGGGUACGGCUGCCCUCCCGCUCCCCUUAUAUUUAUAAGAGGAAGGGGUAGGUGAGGCAUUGACCUAGCCCUCCUCCAAGGGAGGUGGGUGCUUAGGGGAGGAGUCCCUCCUCCGCAAGGCACCUCCCCACCUACCACCAAGGCGCAUGGGCACUUAGGGGAGGGGUGAUGGGGAACGUUGCAUGGGAAACAAAAAAUUUCCUAUGCACACGAAGACCUAUCGUGGUGAUGUUCAUCUACGAGAGGGAGAUCGGAUCCACAUAUCCUUGUAGAUCACUAAGCGGGAAGCGUUAAUAAACGCGGUUGAUGUAGUGAUACAGCUUCGUGAUUCAAAUCACUGUCGUCCCACGAUCCGACCCAAUCUAGCACCGAACGGACGGCACCUCCGCGUUCAACACACGUACAGCUCGAUGACGAUCUCCGCCUUCUUGAUCCAGCAAGAGAGACGGGGGAGUAGAUGAGUUCUCCAGCAGCGUGACGGAGCGCCGGUGAUGGUGAAGAUUGAUACGUCUCCAACGUAUCUAUAAUUUUUGAUGGUUUCAUGAUAUUAUCCUGUCAAACUCUGGAUGUUCUGUAUGCCUUUUAUAUCUUUUUUGGACUAACUUAUUAACUCAGUGCCAAGUGCCAAUUCCUGUUUUUUCCGUGUUUUGACCCCUUUCAUAGGAGGAUUUUAAACGGAGUCCAAACGAAACAAAACUUUCAAAAAGAUUUUUUUCCGAAACAGAAGAAGAUCGGGAAACUUGAGAACCAAGGCAGGGGGCCACCAAGGACCCCACAAGCCCCCUAGCCGCAGCCAGGGGGGCCCGCACCUCCCAGGCUUGUGGGCUCCCUGGGCCACCUCUGCCCUAGGUCUUUCGCCUAUAUAUUUCCAAUAAUUUCAGAAAAAAUAAGGAGAUCAUCGAAAGUACUUUUCCGCCGCCGCAAGCUUCUGUCUUCGCAAGAUCCCAUCUGGGGCACGUUCUGGUGCCCUGCCGGAGGGGGGAUUAGGAUACGGAGGGCUUCUUCAUCAACACCAUGACCUCUCCGAUGAUGUGUGUGUAGUUCACCAUAGACCUAUGGGUCCAUAGCUAGUAGCUAGAUGGCUUCUUCUCUCUCUUGGAUCUUCAAUACAAAGUUCUCCAUGAUCUUCAUGGAGAUCUAUCUGAUGUAAUCUUCUUUUGCGGUGUGAUUGUCGAGAUCCGAUGAAUUGUGGAUUGAUGAUUAGAUUAUCUAUGAAUCUUAUUUGAGUUUCUUCUGAUCUCUCUUAUGCAUGAUUUCAUAUCCUUGUAAUUCUCUUCUAGUUGUGGGUUUUGUUUGGCCAGCUUGAUCAAUGAUUCUUGCAAUGGGAGAAGUGCUUGGUUUUGAGUUCAUACCGUGCAGUGACCUCACCCAGUGACAGAAGGGGUAGCGAGGCACGCAUCGUGUUGUUGCCAUCAAGGGUAAAAAGAUGGGGUUUUCAUCAUUGGUUUGAGUUUAUCCCUCUACAUCAUGUCAUCUUGCUUAAGGCAUUAUUCUGUUCGUCAUGAACUCAAUACACUAGAUGCAUGCUGGAUAGGGGUCGAUGUGUGGAGUAAUAGUAGUAGAUGCAGAAAGUAUCGGUCUACUUGUCUCGGACGUGAUGCAUAUAUGUAUGAUCAUUGCCUUAGAUAUCGUCAUGACUUUGCGCGGUUCUAUCAAUUGCUCGACGGUAAUUUGUUCACCCACCGUAAUAUUUGUUAUUUUGAGAGAAGACUCUAGUGAACACUAUGGCAGUCGGGUCUACUCCACACCAUAUUUUCAGCCUUACACUUUUUCUUCGUUGCACUUUCCGCCUUCAGAUAUCACUUUGCAAUCAAUCUUGAAGGGAUUGACAACCCCUUUAUAACGUUGGGUGCAAGCUCUUUUGUGUUUGUGCAGGUACUCUGGACUUGACGAGAUUCUAUGAUAACCCACAAGUAUAGGGGAUCGCAACAGUUUUCGAGGGUAGAGUAUUCAACCCAAAUUUAUUGAUUCGACUCAAGGGGAAGCCAAAGAAUAUUCUCAAGUAUUAGCAGUUGAGUUGUCAAUUCAACCACACGUGAAAGAUUUAGUUUCUGUAGUAAAGUAUCAGUAGCAAAGUAGUAUGAUAGCAGUACUAGCAACAGUAACCAGUAGUAGCAAAGUAACAACAGUAGCAACAGAGUAACAGUAGCAGCAGUGACAGAAGUAGCGGCAAAGUAACGUAGCAAGGACCAGUAGGAAAAACUCGUAGGCAUUGGAUCGGUGAUGGAUGAUUAUGUCGGAUGCUAUUCAUCAUGAAACAGUUAUAACAUGGAGAGAUAUGUAACUAGCUCCAGUUCGUCAAUCUAAUGUAGGCAUGUAUUCUGUAUGUAGUCAUACGUGCUUAGGGAAAAGAACUUGCAUGACAUCUAUGUUGGUGAAUGUCGCAUGGGAAACAAAAAAUUUCCUACGCGCACGAAGACCUAUCAUGGUGAUGUCCAUCUACGAGAGGGGAUGUGUGAUCUACGUACCCUUGUAGACCGUACAGCAGAAGCAUUAGUGAAUGCGGUUGAUGUAGUGGAACGUCCUCACAUCCCUCGAUCCGCCCUGCGAACCGUCCCACGAUCAGUCCCACGAUCUAGUGCCGAACGGACGGCACCUCCGCGUUCAGCACACAUACAGCUCGACGAUGAUCUCGGCCUUCUUGAUCCAGCAAGAGAGACGGAGAGGUAGAAGAGUUCUCCGGCAGCGUGACGGCGCUCCGGAGGUUGGUGAUGAUCUUAUCUCGGCAGGGCUCCGCCCGAGCUCCGCAGAAACGCGAUCUAGAGGUAAAACCGUGGAGAUAUGUGGUCGGGCUGACGUGGCAAAGUUGUGUCAAAUCAGCCCUAAAACCUCCGUAUAUGUAGGGGGAGGAGGGGGAGCCUUGCCUUGGGGUCCAAGGACUCCCAAGGGGGUCGGCCGAGCCAAGGGGGGCAACCCUCCCCUUCCAAACCGAGUCCAACUAGGUUUGGAAGGAGGAGUCCUUCCCCCUUUUCCCACCUCCUCUUUUUUUUCUCUUUGGAUUUUCUUCCUAUGGCACAUAGGGCUUUCUUUGGCGGUCCCACCAGCCCACUAAGGGCUGGUGCGCCACCCCUAAUGCCUAUGGGCUUCCCCGGGGUGGGUUGCCCCCCCGGUGAACUCCCGGAACCCAUUCGUCAUUUCCGGUACAUUCCCGGUAACUCCGAAAACCUUCCGGUAAUCAAAUGAGGUCAUCCUAUAUAUCAAUCUUCGUUUCCGGACCAUUUCGGAAACCCUCGUGACGUCCGUGAUCUCAUCCGGGACUCCGAACAACAUUCGUAACCAACCAUAUAACUCAAAUACGCAUAAAACAACGUCGAACCUUAAGUGUGCAGACCCUGCGGGUUCGAGAACUAUGUAGACAUGACCCGAGAGGCUCCUCGGUCAAUAUCCAAUAGCGGGACCUGGAUGCCCAUAUUGGAUCCUACAUAUUCUACGAAGAUCUUAUCGUUUGAACCUUAGUGCCAAGGAUUCAUAUAAUCCCGUAUGUCAUUCCCUUUGUCCUUCGGUAUGUUACUUGCCCGAGAUUCGAUCGUCAGUAUCCCCAUACCUAUUUCAAUCUCGUUUACCGGCAAGUCUCUUUACUCGUUCCGUAAUACAAGAUCCCGCAACUUACACUAAGUCACAUUGCUUGCAAGGCUUGUGUGUGAUGUUGUAUUACCGAGUGGGCCCCGAGAUACCUCUCCGUCACACGGAGGGACAAAUCCCAGUCUCGAUCCAUACUAACUCAACGAACACCUUCGGAGAUACCUGUAGAGCAUCUUUAUAGUCACCCAGUUACGUUGCGACGUUUGAUACACACAAAGUAUUCCUCCGGUGUUAGUGAGUUAUAUGAUCUCAUGGUCAUAGGAACAAAUACUUGACACGCAGAAAACAGUAGCAACAAAAUGACAUGAUCAACAUGCUACGUCUAUUAGUUUGGGUCUAGUCCAUCACGUGAUUCUCCUAAUGACGUGAUCCAGUUAUCAAGCAACAACACCUUGUUCAUAAUCAGAAGACACUGACUAUCUUUGAUCAACUGGCUAGACAACUAGAGGCUUGCUAGGGACAGUGUUUUGUCUAUGUAUCCACACAUGUAUAUAAGUCUUCAUUUAAUACAAUUAUAGCAUGGAUAAUAAACGAUUAUCUUGAUACAGGAAUUAUAAUAAUAACUUUAUUUAUUAUUGCCUCUAGGGCAUAAUUCCAACAAUCUAUUGUCCAUCCCUCCCGUGGCAGCGGGGUCCUAAUGGAAACUACGGGAUAUUAAGGUUCUCCUUUUAAUAAAGAACGGGACCAACGCAUUAACACUUGGUGAAUACGUGAACUCCUCAUACUAUGAUCAUCUCCGGGAGUGGUUCUGGCUAUUGUCACUCCGGGGUUGCCGGGUCAUAACACAUAGUAGGUGACUACAACUUGCAAGAUAGGAUCUAAAACACACAUAUAUUGGCGACAACAUAAUAGGUUCAGAUCUGAAAUCAUGGCACUCGGGCCCUAGUGACAAGCAUUAAGCAUGGCAAAGUAGUAGCAACAUCAAUCUCAGAACAUAGUGGAUACUAGGGAUCAAUCCCCAUCAAAACUAACUCGAUUACAUGAUAGAUCUCAUCCAACCCAUCACCGUCCAGCAAGCCUACGAUGAGAUUACUCACGAACGGUGAAGAGCAUCAUGGAAUUGGCGAUGAAGGAAGGUUGAUGAUGACGAUGGCGACGAUCUCCCCUCUCCGGAGCCCAGAACGGACUCCAGAUCUGCCCUCCAGAGGAAGAACUGGAGGUGGCGGCGCCUUCGUAUCGAAAAACGCGAUGAACUCUUCUCCUUGAUUUUUUUUCCGAACGAAAGAGGCUAAAUAGAGCUGGAUUUGGAGGCGGCGGAGCUUCGUGGGCCCCACAAGCUUGCCAGGCCCGGCCAGGGGGCGAGCCUGGUGGGCUUGUGAGCUCCUGGCUCCGUCCCUGCAGGUGAUUCUUGCGCCAGUAUUUUUUAUAUAUUCCACAAAAAAUCCUCGUAAAUUUCCAGGUCAUUCCGAGAACUUUUAUUUCUGCGCAAAAACAACACGAUGGCAAUUCUGUUGAAAACGGCGUCAGUCCGGGUUAGUUCCAUUCAAAUCAUGCAAAUUAGAGUCCAAAACAAGGGCAAAAGAGUUUGGAAAAGUAGAUAUGACGGAGACGUAUCAACUCCCCCAAGCUUAAAGCCUUGCUUGUCCUCAAGCAAUUCAGUUGACAAACUGAAAGAGACAAAAGAAAAACUUUUACGAACUCUGUUUGAUCUUGUUGUUGCAAUUAUGCCUAACUCAUAUCCAGAAUUUUAGCAAGAUCAUAAGAAAACCACAAAAGAAAAUGACAUCUAGGUCUCACGGUAAACUCAUAUCAAUGGCAUAAUCAACUAGCGAGCAAUAAUAAUAAGUUUCAAACAUCAACACUUCAAUCAAGACAAUCAUGAAGCAGUACGAACAGAUGGUAUCUCGCUAGCUCUUUCUGAGACCGCAAAACAUAAAUGCAGAGCAUCUUCAAAGACCAAGGGUUGACUAAACAUUGUAAUUCAUGGCAAAGAAGAUCCAGUCACAGUCAUACUCAACACAGUUAAAAGCAAAGCAUAAAAAUGACAGAGGUGCUCUCUAAUUGGUGCUUUUUAUAAGAAGAGGACGACUCAAUAGGAACAUAAAUAGACAGGCCCUUCGCAGAGGGCAGCAUUGAUUUGGAGAGGUGCCAGAGCUCAAGCUUGAAAACAGAGAUAAUAAUUUUGGGUGGCAUGCUUUCAUUGUCAACGCAAUGACUAAGAGUUCUCACCAUCUUCCAUGCUACACAUGCUAUAGGCGGUUCCCAAAUAGAAAAGUAAAGUUUUGACUCCCCCACCAUCGAUCAAUCACACUCCAUGACUAGCCGAAUACUCGGGUGCCAUCCAUACCAACAUCAAUCCAGGGGGAGUUUUGUUUGCAAUUAUCUUUUCGAUUUGAGCAUGGAACUGGGCAUUCCAAUUACCGGCCCCAUUCUCGUGAAUGAUAGUGAAUAAACACAUAUCGGGGAUAACACGCCUAGCAUGGAAGAUACUGAUAGCCCCCUGUCACCACAUGAGCGGUUCGGGCAUGCAAAACAGAUUAUUUCUUGAAGAUUUAGAGAGUGGCACAUGCAAAUUUACUUGGAACGGCAGGUAGAUACCGCGUAUAGGUAGGUAUGGUGGACUCAUAUGGAACAACUUUGGGUUUAUGGAAGUGGAUGCACAAGCAGUAUUCCCGCUUAGUACAAGUGAAGGCUAGCAAAAGACUCGGAAGCGACCAACUAGAGAGCGACAACAGUCAUCAAAAUGCAUUGAGAUUAACUAACAUUGAGUGCAAGCAUGAGUAGGACAUAAAUCACCAUGAACAUGAAUAUCAUAGAGGCUAUGUUGAUUUUGUUUCAACUACAUGCGUGAACAUGUGCCAAGUCAAGCCACUUGAAUCAUUCAAAGGAGGAUACCAUCUUAUCAUACCACAUCAUAGUCAUCUCAACAUUCAUGUGGGCAUCCAAGACAAACCAUUAUAAGCUCCUAGUUAAUUAAGCAUGACAUCAAUGUAACGACCAAGAUGCGGUCCUUUCCGAUCUGGGGGUCGAGGCCCCCGAAUAGGAAAGAAGCGCAUCUAAGCGUUUCGCAAGCAAGUAAACAUAGCACAUAAUAAUAAUUACAGUAGACAAUCUGGGAUUCAACUGUCUUCUUAUUAAUAAUACAGAGUACAACGCAGAUUCAAACAAGGUAGUUCCGGUACGGACUACAAAACAGGAAAAAUGCUAUGCUACCCGCUGCAGGCCCACGAUCACGACCACGGCUCAGUCCUCUGGAUAGUUCACGUAAAGGCGAUCUGUCUCCUCGUCGUACUGCCACGCCAGCUGGGUGCCGUCGGGAUCAUGUGUCUCUGGGGUACCUGUACCUGCUGGAAGUUUCAGAGGAAUCCGUGAGCCAUGGGGACUCAGCAAUCUAGGACCUUGGUGCCAAAUCUAGUCACGUUAUUUGGGUAAGGAAGGGGUGAAGUGUUUCAGGCUGCUGCAACCUAGGAUUGAACAAGUGGCUAACUUACGCAAUAAUGAUGUGGAAGUGGUCUAUGCUAACGAUCGAAAAUACUUGAUCAGAAAGUGAUCCUGAACACCUACCUACGACAUUCAUAACCCCACCGUGUUCCCGAUCGAAGAGAGAUCUUCGAAGGGACAGUCACGGUUACGCACACAGUUGGCAUGUUUAUUAGUUUAUGUUUAAGUUCUCUAAUACUGGAUGUUAACAAAAUAUUCCAAGUUGCCACAUAACCGCGGGCACGGCUUUCCGAAAGAUUAAACCCUGCAGGGGUGCUCGAACUAGUUCAUCACAAACGAACACAGGCCACAAAGGCAUCCUCUAUCAUGAAUCUCGUGAUCUCGUCGGAUUCCUUAGAGGAAAACCUCAACUCUGGGGGAAACCAAAGCUUCACUGGGAUUCCUAUACGCAAGAUAUACUGCUAAGGUAAGACAAGACCAGCAGGACCUCCCGUCGUGUCGACGACCCUGAUAAGAGCCGCGUAUCUCAGUCUCAGGACACGACAGAUGAGCUAGACGUCGGGAUGGCUAAACCUCUGGGUGACCAGUGGGGCCCCGGACAUCGCUCAGGAGGGGCCAACACUCAUGAGGAGCACUGGCCCGGGUUGUUGAUUAAAUCCUCGGGGUAGCUAUUCCCUAUGCAGAUUAUUAUGUGAUUAGCAGAUUAAAACCAAAGUUGGGUCCUGCCGGACAAGCCUUAGCACUACGCGAUUUAUCAAGGGGGUCCCCAUAACAACCCCGAACGUGUUAGGAGCGAUCAUUAUGGAAUCAAACACCGGUAACCGGUAACUAAGGCGGCAAUAACGGAACAAGACACCCGACAAAAGGCUAGGCCUCCCGUCAUUUACCAAAUAUAUAGAUACAUCAAUUAAAUAGCAGAAUUUAGUAUAAUGAUAUCAAGCUCAUGUCAUCACAUGAGUUUAAAACACCUGCAACUAACAAUGCUACCAUUAGUAGCUGAGCAAGCCUACCUAGCCAUACAAGUUUGCUAGGAAAGAGUAAGGUGUUUAGGCUCAUGGCAUAUGAAGAAGCAAUAUAUUUUCAGUGGUAGGCAGCGAGCAAUAUGACGUGGAAUCGAAACUAACAUAACAAGUCUAGAGAUCGAAUCAAGGUCAUGUCAUCUUGCCUGUGAUAUCCUCAGCUUGGAAUGGUUCUGGAUCGUCCUGCACGUACUCUCCUGACUCCACGUAUUCGUUCUCCGCUCCCGGUGCUGCCCAACAUAAGAAUAACAGCCAAUGAACAGCAGCACCACAAAAUGCAACAAUCACAUGAUGCAUGAGAUGAAAGUUGAGCAUGCAUCACUAUUUCUAUCACUAGCACAAGCAAAAUAAACUACAACAAGUUUCUGGACAUAACUUUGCACUAACUAUUUGGACAUGCAUGGGAAUGACAUGAAAAGAUGAAGGUCGUAAAAACGGUGCAAAACCAUAUAAAGUACAUUGCAAACGGAGCUACGGAUCAACGGGAAUCAACGAUACAAGAUAUGAAGCUCUACGUGAAAGAUUCAACACCACACACACAUUUGGCACAAAUCUGGUAUUCCCAGGUUGCCAAGACAUAUAUUAACCCAACAUGAAUGAAAUGGAGCAAGGUAGAACACCACAAUAACAAUUAAGCACAAACUUUGAACAAAAUGGCAAAACUACAUAAUCUGCCAGUUUCUGCAUCUUAGCUGUUUGGGAGCAAGAUGCAACAUAGCUACAGGUCUUCAAAUAUGACAAAUAAUAUAUGUGGCUGUUGCCAACCAAGAACAAUACAAGCCCCAGCAAGAAUCACAGCAAAAGGAAUUAAACUCUAGAAGAUACAAGGCCACAAACUUUCCCAAAACCAUCAGUUCUCAGGGACUUAGUGAAAAUUCCUGCACCUGAGUUCCUGUUUCUGUUCUGAAGCCUUUUGACAGCAAUCAAAAUACAAUCUACUGGACUCCAAAUGACUUGAAAAUUGACAGGAAGCUUCACAAACAUACCAGGUUCAAAAUACUAGCACUGAACUAAGUCCAGUUCUCAACAGAAUGACCAGCAAAUCCUCAUCUACAGGGGAAGAAAAUGUUUCCAGCAUUCCAGACUUAGUGAAAUUUUCAGAGUUCAAAAAUCUGGAAUUUUCCAGCCACAUGCCCACUUUGUCUAGGCAUAGUUUGCACACACAUGUCACCAAGAGGUAGUUGACACCACUAUGAUGUUGAGCACAAACCCCUACUACUAACACACAAAAAUUCAUGCCCUUGGGCUCCAUCUAUACCAUGGAAUCAAGUCCAAACUUUCAACAAAAUGUAAAUGGUCCAUAAGGUAUGCUUCUAAGAUGACAAUACAUAGGUGAGUUUUAUGUGCACAAUGACAAAGUGACAUGGGGGUUUGAACCCCAUGUUUGUGUCAUGCACAUCAACAACACCAAUACUACUACCACAUAGAUCUUACACACACCUCAUACCCUCUUUCAUAUGAACAUGAGGAGGAACACAAGUGUUGCAAAGUGGGGCUGCCACACCACCACAUAUCACCUCCACUACCUUCAUCACAAGCACUUAAUCUCAAGCACAACAUGAAGGAACAACUUCUAUGCAAGUAACAUGGAUCCACACAUGCAUACACUCCUGCUAGGUACCACCUAUGUGUGCACUACUAACACACACAUCACCUCAACACACACACCACACAUAUUCCAUGAUGCACAUACAUGCAAGUGCUACACGCCCAUUCACACUAGCAAGAUCUCAUGAGCCACUUCCUACUAAGCCACAUAAACACCCCACACAACACUUGCACUAACACCUGUGUGUGCACACACACAACACCACCAAAGAGUCUGCCUCUUACUAUGCACAACAAGAGAAGGGAUCAAAUUGGCCCACUUUAAUGCCUAUGGGUUAGGCACAAACAUGGUAAGACAAGCACAAGAACUAGGAACAAGAUAAAAAGGCAAAAAAAUACAUCCGGGCACCUGGGAUUCGAACCCAGUACCAACUGACGCCACAUACUACCCUCUACCACUCUGCUACUGUCAACUACUCGACAAAACAGAGGGUUCAGGCGAGUUGAGGCCAUCUCUGCAGAAAAAGAAAACGUGCCCAUAAAACUCAGAAGCAAAAGGUGCCGCGGGGAGGGAUCGAACCCAGCACCUGCAUCAGGCACAACAUGAGAACAACCGCUGGGCUACGAUGUGAUUACUGACAGAGGGGGGAAACUCGACCAGAUAUGCUAUCAGGGAAUCACCCUCUGCUUAUAGGGAACGCCAGCGACAGAGAAUCUGACAGGCUACUCCGUCGGCGUUGCUGCGCUGCGCUACCGACGACGAGGAGGUCCCUUGGCCACGGCGCUGCUGGCACGAGGAGGGGGGGGAGAAGCCACCACCUACUGCUACGAGCCUACCGACGCUCUGAACCUAACUGAACGCACGAACACCUGCUGGCCUGGGGUUUCAUCGGGCAGUAGCCUCCCGUCAGAGAAGAAGGCGCUCGCCCUACCGACGCAGCGGCUCCUCGCGCUGGGUGGAGGCGGGCUCCUGCUUCUACCUCUACCAAACAGCAGCAAGGCACCACCACAACACCACGCACCACACAGCUCGCUAACUACAUGACGAACAACAGCAGAGAAGGACGUAGAUCCUACUUCGAAUCAUGACCGAACCGAGGAGGAGGCAAGGGCGAUGAACCUCACCUUGGGGAGGGAGAAGAGGGGGCGCCGAACGGGGAGGAGGAGCGCCGGAGGGGAAGAAGCCGUCGACGAAGACGUCCUUGCGCUGCAGGACCGACGGGGAGGAAGAAGUCACCACGGGCACGUCCUUGACGGGCUCGGGGUCGUCGGCGUGGCCGUACUCCGGGGCUUCUAGCGCCGGGAAUGGACCGCAGGGAUCCAUCCCGAGCCCCCGGACAUGGUGACGGCGGCGAACGGAGGCGGGGCGCGACGGUCGCCGGCGAUGACCUACUGUCUACUGCUACUCCUACAUCUACCUUACCUGACAGAGAAGAGUGGAAGAGAGGUGGGGAAAGAGAUGGUGGCGACGCGAGAUGGGAGGGGAGGAGGAACCCUAGAUGAGGGGGAGAGGGCACAGACGCCAACGCACUUAUAAGGGGGGACCUCGACGUUGCUGCUCACGGCGUCAAGUCCUCUCUCUCUCUCGUUCUGACGGAAAGCAACACGCGCGGGGGUGAGACGGCGUCAGGAAGGAGGGGGUUGCUGGCCUGGGCUCCUGGCGCUGGGAGGAAGACAUACUGGGCCAGCACGGGAGGAAGCCCAUGCUGCGCCAGGGAAGAGAAGAAAUACGCAGGGGGUUUCUAUUUAGAUUAAAAAAACACACAGGGAAGAAAAUAUUACACAAGAUAAACAGCUGGGAUAAAAAUCAAAAGGAAAAAUCUCCUGGUCAUAAGGAAUUAUGGCCCAUUAGAAUAAAAUAGGAAAGCAAUAUUUGGAGCCAUUUGAAAUAAAUGCAAAACAGUAAUUAAUUUACUGUUUUGGGUUUAUUUGCACCUUUAAAAAUCAAAUAACAAGUAUGCAAAAAUACACCUCCUCAUAAUCACAAUUUCCUCUAACCACCAGACAUUUUUGAAUAACUUUUGGGAAGAAGGAAUUUUGACAUGAGAUAAUAGGGGGAAAAGGAUUUAAAAAAUAGCAAGAGCUUAUACAUACUUAGCACUCACUCCUACCCACACACCAUUAUCACAUGAGCAUCAACACAAGAUAUUACCAAACCACAACAUCACACCUAUCAAGAUCACAUGCAUUCAUAUCACCACAAUACUAACUCCUGGUAAGAACAUAACCCAACAUGAACAUGACAUGCAAUCAUAAGGUAAGGCAAGGAAUGAGAUGGCAUGGAUGCAUGCAUGCUAAUGCAAAAUAGAAGGUGACACAUGAAAUCAUACAUGCAUAGCAACUCUCAUGACAAAGUCAAGGUGGUCCCACAUGGAAGGUUACAAAAAGGGAAAGUCCUACACUUGGGGCAUUACAAUCAACAACUAUGAUCUCUAAGUUGUCAUUGCAAACAUGUUUCUCUCACAACAAAGCUGAAUCAGGAACGAUGAGCUAGUCAUAUUUACAGAAACAAAAUAGAUCGAGUUCAUACCAACUUUUCCAGGCUCAGUCACUUCAUCAUAUAUCGUCAUUAUUGCCUUUCACUUGCACGGCCGAAUGAUGUGAACAAUAAUAAGAGUGCUCAUGCAUUGGACUAAGCUGGAAUCUGCAUGCAAACACAAAGGAGAAGACAAAGUAAUAUUGGUCUUUGACAGAUAAGCAGAUAUGCAUGCGAGAGCCACUAAACAUUGUAACCAUGGUCUUCUACCUUGACCCAAAGAAAAAGAAAACUAUUUACACGGGAAAGCUCCCAACAAGCAAAAGAAGAACAAGAAAAUCUUUUUGGGUUUUCUCGGACUAGACACACACACGAAAAGAAAACGAGAAAAAGAAAUAAAUCAAGAUGGAUGAAAUAGUGGCAAAGUGUGAACACCAACGAACAAAGUGAAAGCAUAAGCAAGAAUGUAAAGUCGGUGAGGAACACGUACUCCCCCAAGCUUAGGCUUUUGGCCUAAGUCGGUCUACUCCCAAGGAUGGUCCGGGCGACACCCAAAAUCAAAAUGGGGGUUGUACGGGAGCGCUGCAGCCACUGCCUGAUUAGCUGCCUCACGGAGACUGAUACAUCUCCAACGUAUCUAUAAUUUUUGAUGGUUUCAUGCUAUUAUCUUGUCAAACUUUGGAUGUUUUGUAUGUCUUUUAUAUAUUUUUUGGGACUAACUUAUUAACUCAGUGCCAAGGGCCAGUUCCUGUUUUUCCAUGUUUUUGACCUCUUUCAGAGGAGGAUUUUAAACGGAGUCCAAACGGAAUGAAACUGCCAAAAAGAUUUUUUUCGAAACAAAAAAAGACCGGGAAGCCUCAGAAUCACGGCAGGAGGUCACCAGGGACCCCACAAGCCCCCUAGCCGCGACCAGGGGGGCCCGCGCCUCCCAGGCUUGUGGGCUCCCUGGGCCUCCUCUGCCCUAGGUCUUUCGCCUAUAAAUUCCCUAAAAUCCCAGAAAAAACAGGAGAUCAUCGAAAGUACUAUUCCGCCACCGCAAGCUUCUGUCUCCGCAAGAUCCCAUCUGGGGCACGUUCUGGUGCCCUGCCGGAGGGGGGAUUCGGAUACGGAGGGCUUCUUCAUCAACACCAUGACCUCUCCGAUGAUGCGUGAGUAGUUCACCAUAGACCUACGGGUCCAUAGCUAGUUGCUAGAUGGCUUCUUCUCUUUCUUGGAUCUUCAAUACAAAGUUCUCCAUGAUCUUCGUGGAGAUCUAUCUGAUGUAAUCUUCUUUUGCGGUGUGUUUGUCGAGAUCCGAUGAAUUGUGGAUUUAUGAUUAGAUUAUCUAUGAAUCUUCUUUGAGUUUCUUCUGAUCUCUCUUAUGCCUGAUUUCAUAUCCUUGUAAUUCUCUUCGAGUUGUGGGUUUUGUCUGGCCAACUAGAUCUAUGAUUCUUGCAAUGGGAGAAGUGCUUGGUUUUGGGUUCAUACCGUGCGGUGACCUCACCCAGUGAUAGAACGGGUAGCGAGGCACGCAUCAUGUUGUUGCCAUCAAGAGUAAAAGGAUGGGGUUUUCAUCAUUGGUUUGAGAUUAUCCCUCUACAUCAUGUCAUCUUGCUUAAAGCGUUACUCUGUUCGUCAUGAACUCAACACACUAGAUGCAUGCUGGAUAGCGGUCGAUGUGUGGAGUAAUAGUAGUAGAUGCAGAAAGUAUCGGUCUACGUGUCUCGGACGUGAUGCCUAUAUGUAUGAUCAUUGCCUUAGAUAUCGUCAUGACUUUGCGCGGUUCUAUCAGUUGCUCGACAGUAAUUUGUUUACCCGUCGUGAUAUUUGCUAUUUUGAGAGAAGCCUCUAGUGAACACUAUGGCCCCGGGUCUACUCCACACCAUAUUUCGAGCCUUACUCUUUUACUUCGUUGCACUUUCCGCCUUCAGAUCUCACUUUGCAAUCAAUCUUGAAGGGAUUGACAACCCCUUUAUAGCGUUGGGUGCAAGCUCUUUUGUGUUUGUGCAGGUACUCUGGACUUGACGAGAUUCUCCUACUAGAUUGAUACCUUGGUUCUCAAACUGAGGGAAAUACUUACUGCUCCUGUGCUGCAUCGCCCUUUCUCUUCUAGGGAAGAACCAACGCAAGCUCAAGAUACGACAGAAGAUCUCUGUCGUCGUAGCAAAAGAAUUUGUGGCACCGUUGUCGGGGUUUAUCAAGUCAAGAACUCAUCAAAGUAAGUGUCGCAAACUCAUCUCUUGCAUUUACUUUGUUUGCCAGUUGCCUCUCGUUUUCCUCUCCCUCACUUCACCAAUUUGCCUUUUUCGUUUGCCUUUUUUGUUCGCCUUUUCGUUCACCCUUUUUCUCGCUUGGUCUUUGUUUGCUUGUGUGCUUGCUUGCUUGGCGAAGUCACCAUGACUGAAAACACCAAACUUUGUGACUUCUCGAAUACUAAUAAUAAUGAUUUUAUUAGUACUCCAAUUGCUCCCGCCACUAGUGCGGAGUCAUACGAAAUCAAUGCCGCUUUGCUGAAUCUUAUUACGAAAGAGCAAUUCUCCGGCCUUCCUAGUGAAGAUGUCGCAUCCCAUCUUAAUACCUUCAUUGAACUUUGUGACAUGCAAAAUAAGAAAGAUGUGGAUAAUGAUGUGAUUAAAUUGAAGCUUUUUUUCCUUUCUCGUUGCGAGAUCGAGCAAAAACUUGGUUUUCGUCUUUGCCCAAAAAUAGUAUCGGUUCUUGGGAUAAGUGCAAAGAUGCUUAUAUUUCCAAGUAUCUUCCGCCGGCUAAGAUUAUCUCUCUCCGUAAUGAUAUCAUGAAUUUUAAGCAACUUGAUCAUGAACACGUUGCACAAUCUUGGGAGAAAAUGAAAUUGAUGAUUAGAAACUGUCCCGCUCAUGGCUUGAGUCUUUGGAUGAUUAUACAAAUCUUCUAUGCUGGCUUGAAUUUCGCUUCUAGAAAUAUCUUGGACUCAGCCUCAGGUGGAACGUUCAUGGAAAUCACAUUAGAGAAGCCACGAAACUCCUAGACAAUGUCAUGACGAACUACUCUCAGUGGCACACUGAAAGGUCACCUACUAGUAAGAAGGUACACGCUAUAGAAGAAAUUAACUCGUUGAGUGCUAAGAUGGAUGAGCUAAUGAAUUUGGUUGCUAGUAGAAGUGCUCCUUUAGAUCCUAAUGAUAUGCCCUUGUCCUCCUUGAUUGAGAGUACCAACGCUAGCUUGGACGUUAAUUUUCUUGGUAGGAAUAAUUUUGGCAACAACAAUGCUUUUAGAGGAAACUAUGUUCCUAGGCCUUUUCCUAGUAACUCCUCUAAUAACUUUGGCAACUCCUACAACAAUACUCAUGGAAAUUACAAUAGAUUACCGUCUGAUCGAGAGAGUAAUAUCAAAGAGUUUAUUAACUCACAAAAGAUUUUCAAUGCGUCCAUAGAGGAAAAACUACUAAAAAUUGAUGAUUUGGCUAGGAGCGUUGAUAUAAUGUCUAGUGAUAUUGAUGCUUUGAAAGUUAGAUGUGCUCCUCCCAAGAUCAAUAUGGAUGAAACUUUGAAAGCUAUACGUGUUUCCAUGAGUGAGAGCAAAGAAAGAACAACCCAAAUUCGUGCUAGACAUGAAUGGCUUAAAAAGGCGUGUUCUCGUGAUAAGAAUCACGACGAUCUUAAAGUGCUUGGUGUGACUCCCAUUGAAUCUUUGUUUUCUUGCGUCAAACCUAAUGAUGAUGGGGCUGGAUAUGAAUCCACCUUGGUUGAAAAAUGCCCCAAUGAUUCGGAGUCCAUCUAUCUUGAUGCUAAAAGCAUUGAAAGUGGAGUAGAAGAUAUUAAAACUUUGAGUAAUGAAAUUACUACUUUAUAUUUCAAGGAAUUCAAUUAUGAUAGUUUCUCCUUGAUUGAAUGCAUUUCCUUGAUGAAAUCCAUGCUAAACUCUUCACACGCUUAUAGCCAAAACAAGGCCUUUACCAAUCAUAUCGUCGAAGCUAUGAUAAAAUCUCUUGAAGAGAAACUCGAAUUGGAAGUAUCUAUCCCUAGAAAGCUUCAUGAUGAGUGGGAACCUACUAUCAAAAUCAAAAUCAAAAACUAUGAAUGCAAUGCUUUGUGUGAUUUGGGUGCUAGUGUUUUCACGAUUCCGAUGUCUUUAUGUGAUGUUGUGGGUUUUAAUGAGAUUGAGGAGUAUUCUCUUAAUUUGCAUCUUGUGGAUUCUACUGUCAAGAAACCCAUGGGAAGGAUCAAUGAUGUUUUUAUUAUUGCAAAUAGGAACUAUGUACCCGUGGAUUUCAUUGUGCUUGACAUUGAUUGCAAUCCUACAUGCCCUAUUAUUCUUGGUAGACCUUUCUGAAGGACUAUUGGUGCUAUCAUCGGUAUGAAGGAAGGGAAUAUCAAAUUUCAAUUUCCUUUGAAGAAGGGCAUGGAGCACUUUCCUAGAAAGAAAAUAAGAUUGCCUUAUGAAUCCAUGAUGAGGGCUACUUAUGGUUUGAGCACCAAAGACGACGAUACGUGAUUCCAUCACCUUAUGCCUAGCUAAGGGCGUUAAACAAUAGCGCUUGUUGGGAGGCAACCCAAUGAAUUUAUAUUUUUCGUUCUGUUUUGUUGCGUCGACACCAUCAUAAUUCUGUUGUGAUAGUGUCUUUUGUGUUUCUUUUUGUGUUUGAGCCAAGCAAAACCUUUAUGACUAGUCUUGGUGAUGGUUGUUUGAUCCUGCUGGAAAAAGACAGAAACUUUUCGCUCACGAGAUUAUUUUUCAUUUUUAUUCAGAAAGAGAUUUAGAGUUGACUCUUUUUGGUGCUGUUUGAUAUGCCUUUUGCCCAGGCAGUCGUAAUUGUUCAGAAUUUUUGAGGUAACAGAAGUAUAAGAAGUAUACAGAUUGCUAGAGACUGGUCUGUUUUUGACAUAUUCUAUUUUUGUUGAGUUGGUUGCUUGUUUUGUUGAAACUAUGGAUAGUAUCGGGGGUACUAGCCAUGGAAAAGUGAGAAUACAGUAAUCUAACACCUAUAUAAAUAUAAAUCAAGAUUGCUACAGUACCUAAAGAGGUGGUAGUUUUUUUCUUGUGCUAAUGUUAUCACGAGUUUCUGUUUAAAUCUUGUGUGGCGAAUUUUUCAAGUUUUGGGGGAUGUUCUCAUGGACAAAGAGAUAAGGAGUGGAAAUAUCUCAAGCUUGGGGAUGCCCAAGGCAUCCCAAGCCAAAUUCAAGGACACCAAAAAGCCUAAGCUUGGGGAUGCCCCGGGAAGGCAUCCACUCUUUCGUCUUCAAUCCAUCGGUAACAUUACUUGGAACUAUAUUUUUAUUCACCACAUGAUAUGUGUUUUGCUUGGAGCGUCUUGUAUCGUAGGAGUCUUUUCUUUUUGUUGUGUUACAAUCAUCCUUGCUGCACACCCUUUGAGAGAGACAUGCACUCAUCGUGAUUUUGGUAGAGUGCUCAUAGUGCUUCACUUAUAUCUUUUGAGCUAGAUAAUUUUGCUCUAUGUGCUUCACUUAGAUCUUUUAGAGCACGGCGAUGCGUGACUUGGUAGUUGGCUUGUGCUAUGAAAGUAGUCCCCAAAUGUUAUAGGUACCCAAAGAGGAUACAAAAACCUCCAUCUUCAUGUGCAUUGAGUAGAAAGAGAAGUUUGAUUCCUCUCAAUUAGUUUUGAGACGUGGAUUUGGUAAUAUUAAGAGUUAUGUUAGUAGGGUGUUGUGAAUCUAGAAAUACUUGUGUUGAAGUUAGUGAUUCCCGUAGCAUGCACGUAUGGUGAAUCGCUAUGUUAGGAAGUCAGAGCAUAAUUGAUCUACUGAUUGUCAUGCUUUGUGUUGCGGUCGGGAUCGCGCGAUGGUUAACACCUACCAACACUUCCCCUAGGAGUAUGCGUUUAGCACUUUAUUUCGAUUACUAAUAAAAACUUUCGCAACAAGUAUGUGAGUUCUUCAUGACUAAAGUGAGUCCAUGGUAUAGAUGCACUUCCACCUUCAACCAUUGCUAGCCUCUCUAGUGUCGCGCAAUUCUCGCCGGUGCACAAACCCACCAUAUGCCUUCCUCAAAACAGCCACCAUACCUACCUAAUAUGGCAUUUUCAUAGCCAUUCCGAGAUAUAUUGCCAUGCAACUCCCACCGUUCCGUCUCAUGACUUGUGCCGUCACUCUCAUAUUGCCAUUGCAUGAUCGUAAGAUAGCUAGCGAGAUGUUUCAACGUCAUACGCCAAGCUAGAUCGUUGCACAUCCCGGUACACUGAGGGAGGCAUUUCCUAUAGAGUCAUCAUCGUUCUGAGCUUUGAGCUGUGAGUAAAUAAAAGUGUGAUGAUCUGUUGGGGAACGUCGCAUGGGAAACAAAAAAUUUCCUACGCGCACGAAGACCUAUCAUGGUGAUGUCCAUCUAUGAGGGGGAUUUUAGAUCUACGUACCCUUGUAGAUCGCACAGCAGAAGCGUUAAUAAACGCGGUUGAUGUAGUGGAACGUCCUCACGUCCCUCGAUCCGCCCCGCGAACCGUCCCGCGAUCUGUCCCACGAUCCGCUCCGAUCUAGUGCCGAACGGACGGCACCUCCGCGUUCAGCACACGUACAGCUCGACGAUGAUCUCGUCCUUCUUGAUCCAGCAAGAGAGACGGAGAGGUAGAUGAGUUCUCCGGCAGCAUGAUGGCGCUCCGGAGGUUGGUGGUGAUCUAAUCUCAGCACGGCUUCCCCGAGCUCCGCAGAAACGCGAUCUAGAGGCAAAACCGUGGAAGUAUGUGGUCGGGCUGCCGUGGAAAAGUUGUGUCAAAUCAGCCCUAAAACCUCCGUAUAUAUAGGUGGGAGGGGAGGGGACUUGCCUUGGGGCUCAAGGAGCCCCAAGGGGGUCGGCCGAACCAAGGGGGGAAGUCCUCCCCUUCCAAUCCUAGUCCAACUAGGAUUGGAAGGUGGAGUCCUUCUCCACUUUCCCACUUCCCCUUUUUUUCUCUUUGAUUUUUCUUUCUCCUGCGCAUAGGGCUUCUUGGGCUGUCCCACCAGCCCACUAAGGGCUGGUGUGGCACACCUAAGGCGUAUGGGCUUCUCCCGGGUGGGCUGGCCCCUCCCGGUGAACAUCCGGAACCCAUUCGUCAUUCCCGGUACAUUCCCGGUAAUGCCAAAAACUUUCUGAUAAUCAAAUGAGGUCAUCCUAUAUAUCAAUCUUUGUCUCCGUACCAUUCCGAAAACCCUCGUGAUGUCCGUGAUCUCAUCCGGGACUCCGAACAACAUUCGGUAACCAACCAUAUAACUCAAAUACGCAUAAAACAACGCCGAACCUUAAGUGUGCAGACCCUGCGGGUUCGAGAACUAUGUAGACAUGACCCGAGGGACUCCUCGGUCAAUAUCCAAUAGCGGGACCUGGAUGCCCAUAUUGGAUCCUACAUAUUCUACGAAGAUCCUAUCGUUUGAACCUCAGUGCCAAGGAUUCAUAUAAUCCCGUAUGUCAUUCUCUUUGUCCUUCGGUAUGUUAAUUGCCCGAGAUUCGAUCGUCGGUAUCCGCAUACCUAUUUCAAUCUCGUUUACCGGCAAGUCUCUUUACUCGUUCCGUAAUACAAGAUCCCGUGACUUACACUAAGUCACAUUGCUUGCAAGGCUUGUGUGUGAUGUUGUAUUACUGAGUGGGCCCCGAGAUACCUCUCCGUCACACGGAGUGACAAAUCCCAGUCUUGAUCCAUACUAACUCAACGGACACCUUCGGAGAUACCUGUAGAGCAUCUUUAUAGUCACCCAGUUACGUUGCGACGUUUGAUACACACAAGGUAUUCCUCCGGUGCCAGUGAGUUAUAUGAUCUCAUGGUCAUAAGAAUAAAUACUUGACACGCAGAAAAACAGUAGCAACAAAAUGACACGAUCAACAUGCUACGUUCAUUAGUUUGGGUCUAGUCCAUCACAUUAUUAUCCUAAUGAUGUGACCCCGUUAUCAAGUGAAAACACUUGCCCAUGGUCAGGAAACCUUGACCAUCUUUGAUCAACAAGCUAGUCAACUAGAGGCUUGCUAGGGACAGUGUUUUGUCUAUGUAUCCACACAAGUAUUGUGUUUCCAAUCAAUACAAUUAUAGCAUGGAUAAUAAACGAUUAUCAUGAACAAAGAAUUAUAAUAAUAACUAAUUUAUUAUUUCCUCUAGGGCAUAUUUCCAAUAGUAUCCCACUUGCACUAGAGUCAAUAAUCUAGUUCACAUCACCAUGUGAUUUCAUCGAAUCCAACACCCAUAUAGUUCUGGGGUCUGAUCACGUCUUGCUCGUGAGAGAGGUUUUAGUCAGCGGUUCUGAAACUUUCAGAUCCGUGUGUUCUUUACAAAUCCUUAUGUCAUCUUAUAGAUGCUGCUACUACGUGCUAUUCAGAGAAUACUCCAAAUAUCUACUCUACUUAUACGAAUCCGUUUCACUACUUAUAGUUAUUCGGAUUAGUGUCAAAGCUUGCAUCGACGCAACCCUUUACGACGAACUCUUUAACCACCUCCAUAAUCGAGAAAAAAAUCCUUAGUCCAUUAGUUACUAAGGAUAACUUUGACUGCUGUUAGUGAUUCAAUCAUGGAUCACUCUCUGUACCUCUCAAUAGACUUGAGGCAAGGCACACAUUACGUGCGGUACUCAGCAUGGCAUACUUUAGAGUCUACGGCUAAGGCAUAGGGGACGACCUUCGUCCUUUCUGUUUCUUCUGCCGUGGUCGGGUUUUGAGUCUUACUCAAAUUCACACCUUACAACACAGUCAAGAACUCCUUCUUUGCUGAUCUAUUUUGAACUCCUUCAAAAACUUGUCAAGGCAUGCAUCUUGUUGAAACUUCCAUCAAGCGUUUCAAUCUAUCUCCAUAGAUCUUAAUGCUCAACGUUCAAGUAGCUCAAUCUAGGUAUUCCUUUGAAAAAAUCCUUUCAAACAACCCUUUUAUGCUUCACAGAAAUUCUACAUUACUUCUGAUCAACAAUAUGUCAACCACAUAUACUUAUCAGAAAUUCUAUAGUGCUCCCACUCACUUCUUUGGAAAUACAAGUUUCUCAUAAACCUUGUACACACCCAAAAUCUUUGAUCAUCUCAUCAAAGUGUAUGUUCCAACUCCGAGAUGCUUUCACCAGUCCGUUGAAGGAUCGUUGGAGCUUUCAUACUUGUUAGUAUCUUUAGGAUCGACAAAACCAUCUGGUUGUAUCACAUGCAAUUUUUCCUCAAGGAAACCGUCGAGGAAACAAUGUUUUGACAUCCUGUGUGCAAUAUUUCAUAAAUAAUGCAGCAACUACUAACAUAAUUCUAACAGACUUUUAGCAUCGCUACGAGUGAGAAAGUCUCAUCAUAGUCAACUAUUUGAUUUUGUCAGAAACAUCUUUGCGACAAGUCGAGAUUUUCUCAAUGGUGACGUUUCACCAUCAUCGUCUGUCUUCCUUUUAAAGAUCCAUCUUUACUUAAUAGUCCUACGACCAUCAAGUAGUUCUUCCAAAGUCUAUACUUUGUUCUCACAUAUGGAUUCUCUCUCGGAUUUCAUGGCCUCCAACCAUUUGUCGGAAUCUGGGCCCACCAUUGCUUCUCCAUAGCUCGCCGGUUCAUUGUUGUUCAACAACAUGACCUCCAAGACACGGUCAUCGUACCACUCUGUAGUAGUAUGCGACCUUGUCGACCCACGAGGUUUGUAGUAACUUGAUCCAAUGCUUAAUGAUCACCAUCAUCAACUUCCACUUCAAUUGGUGUAGGCGCCAAAUGAACAACUUCCUGCGCCCUGCUACACACUGGUUGAAGUGACGGUUCAAUAACCUCAUCAAGUUCCACCACUCUCCCGCUCAAUUCUUUCGAGAGAAACCUUUCCUCGAGAAAGUAUCCGUUUCUAGAAACAAACAUUUUGCUCCCGGAUCUGAGAUAGGAGAUGUAUCCAACUGUUUUGGAUAUCCUAUGAAGAUGCUUUUAUCCGCUUUGGGUUCGAGCUUAUCAGACUGAAACUUUUUCACAUAAGCAUCGCAGCCCCAAACUUUCAAGAAACGACAGCUUAGAUUUCUCUAAACCUCAGUAUAUACUGUGUCAUCUCAACGGAAAUACGCGGUGCCCUUAUUUAAAGUGAAUGCAGUUGUCUCUAAUGCAUAACCCAUAAACGAUAGUGGUAAUUCGAUAAGAGACAUCAUAGUAUGCACCAUAUCAAAUAGUGCGCGGCUAUGAUGUUCAGACACAUCAUCACACUAUGGUGUUCCAGGUGGCAUAAACUGCGAAACAAUUUCCACAUUGUCUUAACUGCUACCAAAACUCGUAACUCAGAUAAUCAUCUCUAUGAUCAUAUCGUAGACAGUUUAUCCUCUUGUCACGACGAUCUUCACUCUGAAAUUGCCUUGAACUUUUCAAUAUUUCAGACUUGUGAUUCAUCAAGUAAAUACUCCUGUAUCUACUCAAAUCGUCAGUGAAGUAAGAACAUAACGAUAUCCACUGCGUGCCUUAUCACUCAUUGGACUGCACACAUAAAAAAUGCAUUACUCCGAACAAGUUACUCUUUUGUUUCAUGUGGCAUGUUUUGCAUGUCUCAAGUGAUUCAAAAUCAAGUGAGUCCAAACGAUCCAUCUCUAUGGAGUUUCUUCAUGCAUUUAUACCAACAUGUAUGGUUUGCAUGUCUCAAACGUUUCAAAAAUGAGUGAGUACAAAGAUCCAUCAGCAUGGAGCUUCUUCAUGCAUUUUACACCAACAUGACUCAAGUGGCACUGCCACAAUUAAGUGGUACUAUCAUUGUAUCUUUUGGCACUAAUAUUAUGAACAUGUGUAACACUACGAUCGAGAUUCAAUAAACCAUUGAGGGUAAUUAUUCAAGCAAAUAGAAUAACUAUUAUUCUCUUUAAAUGAAUAAUCGUAUUGCAAUAAACAUGAUCCAAUCAUGUUCAUGCUCAACGCAAACACCAAAUAACAAUUAUUUAGGUUUUACCACCAAUCCCAAUGAUAGAGGGAGCAUGCGACGUUUGAUCACAUCAACCUUGGAAACACUUCCAACACUUAUCGUCACCUCGCCUUUAGCUAGUCUCUGUUUAUUCCGUAGCUUUCAUUUCGUGUUACUAACCACUUAGCAACUGAACCGGUAUCCAAUACCCUCGCACUACUAGGAGUACUAGUAAAGUACACAUCAACAUCAUUUAUAUCAAAUAUACUUCUUUCGACUUUGCCAGCCUUCUUAUCUACCAAGCAUCUAGGGUAGCUCCGCCUCAGUGACCGUUCCCCUCAUAACAGAAGCACUUAGUCUUGGGCUUGGGUUUAAUCUUGGGUCUCUUCAUUAGUGCAGCAACUGUUUUGCCGUUUCACGAAGUAUCCCAUCUAGCCCUUGCCUUUAUCGAAACUUAGUGGUUUUACUAACCAUCAACUAUUGAUGCUCCUUCUUGAUUUCUACUUUCGCAAUGUCAAACAUCGUGAAUCGCUCAAGGAUCAUUGUGUCUAUCCUUGAUAUGUUAUAGUUCAUCAGGAAGCUCUCACAGCUUGGUGGCAGUGACUUUGGAGAACCAUCACCAUCUCAUCUGGAAGAUUAACUCCCACUUGAUUCAAGCGAUUAUCGUACUCAGACAAUCUGAGCAUACGCUCAACGAUUGAGCUUUUCUCCUUUACUUCGUGGACAAAGAAUCUUGUCGGAGGUCUCAUACCUCUUAACAAGGGCACAAGCAUGAAGUCACUAUUUCAUCUCUUUAGAACAUCUCUUAUGUUCCGUGACCUUUCAAAACGUCUUCGGCGCCUUGCUUCUAAGCCAUUAAGUAUUUUGCACUGAACUAUCGCGUAGUCAUCAGAAACGUGUAUGUCGGAUGUUCACAACAUCCACAGACGACGCUCGAGGUGCAGCACACCGAGUGGUGCAUUAAGGACAUAAGCCUUCUGCGCAACAACGAGGACAAUCCUCAGAUUUUACAAACUUAGUCUACAAAGUUUGCUACUAUCAACUUUCAACUAAAUUUUCUCUAGGAACAUAUAAAAACAGUAGAGCUAUAGGGCAAGCUACAUCGUAAUUCGCAAAGACCAUUAGACUAUGUUCAUGACAAUUAGUUCAAUUAAUCAUAUUACUUAAGAACUUCCACUCAAAAAGUACAUCUCUCUAGUCAUUUGAGUGGUACAUGAUCCAAAUCCACUAUCUCAAGUCCGAUCAUCACGUGAGUCGAGAAUAGUUUCAGUGGUAAGCAUCUCUAUGCUAAUCAUAUCAACUAUACGAUUCAUGCUCGACCUUUCAGUCAGUGGCGGACCUAGAGAAUAUUUUGAAUGGGGGCAUGUUCUUUAAAAAAUCAACGAAUUUAAGCAUAUUUUUCAAAAACCACAAGCAAAUAUUGCUGCAGUUUCAAAUUUUGAGUGGGGGCCUAGGCCCCCACUCACCUCAACAUAGGUCCGCCCCUGCUUUCGGUCUCAUGUGUUCCGAGGCAAUGCGUGCACAUGCUAGGCUCGUCAAGUUUAACCCGAGUGUUCCGCGCGUGCAACUGUUUUGCACCCGUUGUAUGUGAACGUUGAGUCUAUCACACCCGAUCAUCACGUGGUGUCUCGAAACGACGAACUGGUGCAAUGGUGCACAGUCGGGGAGAACACAAUUUGAGCUUGAAAUUUUAGUGAGAGAUCACCUCAUAAUGCUACCGUUGUUCUAAGCAUAAUAAGAUGCAUAAAUGAUUAACAUCACAUGCAAUUCAUAAGUGACAUGAUAUGGCCAUCAUCAUGUGCUUCUUCAUCUCCAUCACAAAGCACCGGCACGAUCUUCUUGUCACCGGCGCCACACCAUGAUCUCCAUCAACGUGUCGCCAUCGGGGUUGUCGUGCUACUCAUGCUAUUACUACUAAAGACACGUCCUAGCAAUAUAGUAAACGCAUCUGCAAGCACAAACGUUAAUUUAAAGACAACCCUAUGGCUCCCGCCGGUUGCCGUACCAUCGACGUGUAAGUCGAUAUUAAAUAUUACAACAUGAUCAUCUCAUACAUCCAAUAUAUCACAUCACGUCGUUGGCCAUAUCACAUCACAAGCAUACCCUGCAAAAACAAGUUAGAUGUCCUCUAAUUGUUGUUGCAUGUUUUACGUGGUUGCCAUGGGUAUCUAGUAGGAUCGCAUCUUACUUACGCAAACACCACAACGAAGAUGUAUGGAUUGCUAUUUAACCUCUCUCCAAGGACCUCCUCGGUCAAAUCCGAUUCAACUAAAGUUGGAGAAACCGACACAAGCCAGUCAUCUUUGAGCAACGGGGUUGCUCGUAGCAAUGUAACCAAUCUCUCGUAAGCGUACGAGUAAUGUCGGUCCGAGCCGCUUCGGUCCAACAAUACCGCGGAAACAAGAAAAGACUAAGGAGGGCAGCAAAUCGCACAUCACCGCCCACAAAAACUUUUGUGUUCUACUCGAGAUAACAUCUACGCAUGAACCUAACUCAUGAUGCCACUGUUGGGGAACGUCGCAUGGGAAACAAAAAUUUUCCUACGCGCACGAAGACCUAUCAUGGUGAUGUCCAUCUACGAGGGGGAUUUCAGAUCUACGUACCCUUGUAGAUCGCACAGCAGAAGCGUUAAUAAACGCGGUUGAUGUAGUAGAUGAGUUCUCCGGUAGCGUGACGGCGCUCUGGAGGUUGGUGGUGAUCUAAUCUCACCAGGGAUCCGUCCGAGCUCCGCAGAAACGUGAUCUAGAGGAAAAACCGUGGAAGUAUGUGGUCGGGCUGUCGUGGAAAAGUUGUGUCAAAUCAGCCCUAAAACUGUUGGGGAACGUCGCAUGGGAAACAAAAUUUUCCUACGCGCACGAAGACCUAUCAUGGUGAUGUCCAUCUACGAGAGGGGAUGAGUGAUCUACGUACCCUUGUAGAUCGUACAGCAGAAGCGAUAAGAGAUCGCGGUUGAUGUAGUGGAACGUCCUCACGUCCCUCGAUCCGCCCCGCGAACAAUCCCGCGAUCAGUCCCACGAUCUAGUACCGAACGGACGGCACCUCCGCGUUCAGCACACGUACAGCUCGACGAUGAUCUCGGCCUUCUUGAUCCAGCAAGAGAGACGGAGAGGUAGAAGAGUUCUCCGGCAGCGUGACGGCGCUCCGGAGGUUGGUGAUGAUCUUGUCUCAGCAGGGCUCCGCCCGAGCUCCGCAGAAACACGAUCUAGAGGAAAAACUAUGGAGGUAUGUGGUCGGGCAGCCGUGAGAAAGUCGUCUCAAAUCUNNNNNNNNNNNNNNNNNNNNNNNNNNNNNNNNNNNNNNNNNNNNNNNNNNNNNNNNNNNNNNNNNNNNNNNNNNNNNNNNNNNNNNNNNNNNNNNNNNNNUUUGAUACACACAAAGCAUUCCUCCGGUGUCAGUGAGUUAUAUGAUCUCAUGGUCAUAGGAAUAAAUACUUGACACGCAGAAAACAGUAGCAACAAAAUGACACGAUCAACAUGCUACGUCUAUUUAGUUUGGGUCUAGUCCAUCACGUGAUUCUCCCAAUGACGUGAUCCAGUUAUCAAGCAACAACACCUUGUUCAUAAUCAGAAGACACUGACUAUCAUCGAUCAACUGGCUAGCCAACUAGAGGCAUGCUAGGGACGGUGUUUUGUCUAUGUAUCCACACAUGUAAAUGAGUCUUCAUUCAAUACAAUUAUAGCAUGGAUAAUAAACUAUUAUCUUGAUACAGGAAUUAUAAUAAUAACUAUACAUUUAUUAUUGCCUCUAGGGCAUAAUUCCAACAAAAACCUCCAUAUAUGUAGGUGGGCGGGGAGGGGCCUUGCCUUGGGGCUCAAGGAGCCCCAAGGGGGUCGGCCGAACCAAGGGGGGAAGUCCUCCCAUUCCAAUCCUAGUCCAACUAGGAUUGGAAGCUGGAGUCCUUCUCCACUUUCCCACUUCCCCUUUUUUUUCUCUUUGAUUUUUCUUUCUCCUGCGCAUAGGGCUUCUUGGGCUGUCCCACCAGCCCACUAAGGGCUGGUGUGGCACCUCUAAGGCCUAUGGGAUUCUCCCGGGUGGGCUGGCCCCUCCAGGUGAACAUCCGGAACCCAUUCGUCACUCCCGGUACAUUCCCGGUAAUGCCGAAACCUUUCCGGUAAUCAAAUGAGGUCAUACUAUAUAUCAAUCUUCGUCUCCGGACCAUUCCGGAAACCCUCGUGACUUCCGUUAUCUCAUCCGGGACUCCGAACAACAUUCGAUAACCAACCAUAUAACUCAAAUACACAUAAAACAACGCCGAACCUUACGUGUGCAGACCCUGCGGGUUCGAGAACUAUGUAGACAUGACCCGAGGGACUCCUCGGUCAAUAUCCAAUAGCGGGACCUGGAUGCCCAUAUUGGAUCCUACAUAUUCUAUGAAGAUCUUAUCGUUUGAACCUCAGUGCCAAGGAUUCAUAUAAUCCCGUAUGUCAUUCCCUUUGUCCUUCGGUAUGUUACUUGCCCGAGAUUCGAUCGUCGGUAUCCGCAUACCUAUUUCAAUCUCGUUUACCGGCAAGUCUCUUUACUCGUUCCGUAAUACAAGAUCCCGUGACUUACACUAAGUCACAUUGCUUGCAAGGCUUGUGUGUGAUGUUGUAUUACCGAGUGGGCCUGAGAUACCUCUCCGUCACACGGAGUGACAAAUCCCAGUCUUGAUCCAUACUAACUCAACGGAUACCUUCGGAGAUACCUAUAGAGCAUCUUUAUAGUCACCCAGUUACGUUGCGACGUUUGAUACACACAAGGUAUUCCUCCGGUGCCAGUGAGUUAUAUGAUCUCAUGGUCAUAGGAAUAAAUACUUGACACACAGAAAAACAGUAGCAACAAAAUGACACGAUCAACAUGCUACGUUCAUUAGUUUGGGUCUAUUCCAUCACAUGAUUCUCCUAAUGAUGUGAUCCCGUUAUCAAGUGACAACACUUGCCAUGGUCAGGAAACCUUGACCAUCUUUGAUCAACGAGCUAGUCAACUAGAGGCUUACUAGGGACAGUGUUUUGUCUAUGUAUCCACACAAGUAUUGUGUUUCCAAUCAAUGCAAUUAUAGCAUGGAUAAUAAACGAUUAUCAUGAACAAAGAAAUAUAACAAUAACUAAUUUAUUAUUGCCUCUAGGGCAUAUUUCCAACAUGAUCAUCAUUAUUAGAGCAUUGUCCCAUGUGAGAAAAAAGAGAGGCCAAAGAGCCCAAAUAACCCCGAGAGAAAAAAAGAGGCCCAAGAGACCAAAUAAGAAAAAGAGAAAAAGAGAGAAGGGACAAUGCUACUAUCUUUUUCCACAACUGUGCUUCAUAAUAGCACCAUGUUCUUCAUGAUUGAGAGCCUCUCGUUUCGUCACCACCAUAUGCUAGUGGGAAUCUUCAUUAUAUAACUUGGCUUGUAUAUUCGAAUGAUGGGCUUCCUCAAAAUUGGCCUAGGUCUUCGUGAGCAAGCAAGUUGGAUGCACACCCACUAGUUCUCCUUUUGAGCUUUCACAUACUUAUAGCUCUAGUGCAUCCUUUGUAUGGCAAUCCCUCCUCAUUCAAAUUGAUAUCUAUUAAUGGGCAUCUCCAUAGCCCUUUGAUACGCGUUGUCAAUGUGACCAUCUCCUCCCUUUCUGUCUCACAACAACCUCCACACUCUAUUCCACUUAUAGUGCUAUAUGCAUGGCUCACGCUCAUAUAUUGCGUGAUAGUUAUAAAAGGUUUGAGAAAGUAAGAGUGUGAAAACAAUUACUUGGCCAAUACCGGGGUUGUGCAUGAUUUAAAUUAGUUGUGUGGGGAUGAUGGAGCAUAGCCAGACUAUGUGAUUUUGUAGGGAUAACUUUCUUUGGCCUUGUUAUUUCGAAAGUUCACGAUUACCUUGCUAGUUUGCUUGAAGUAUUAUUGUUUUCAUGUCAAUAGCAAACUAUUGUUUUGAAUCUUACGGAUCUGAACAUUCAUGUCACACAAAAGAAGUUGCAAAGGACAACUAUGUGUUGGGUAACGUAGCAUAAAUUCAAAAUUUUCCUACGCAUAUUCAGAUCUUCCUAUGGAGAGACCAGCAACGAGAGAGGGGUAAGAGCAUCUUCAUACCUUUGAAGAUCGCUAAGCGGAAGCGUUGCUAGAACGCGGUUGAUGGAGUCGUACUCGCAGCGAUUCCGAUCUAGUGCCGAACUACGGCACCUCCGCGUUCAACACACGUGCAGCCCGGUGACGUCUCCCGCACCUUGAUCCAACAAGGAGGAGGGAGAGGUUGGGGAAGAACUCCAGCAACACGACGGCGUGGUGUCGAUGGAGAGACGAGGUCUCCCGGCAGGGCUUCGCCAAGCACCGGCAGAGAGGAGGAGGAAGAAGAGCAGGGCUGUGCCGAGGGAGAGCGAAAAGUCUAAAAUCUCCAAUGGCCAAAAGUGCCCACUAUAUAUAGGGAAAGGGGAGAGGGGGUGCCACCCCUAGGGUUCCCACCCUAGGGGGUGUGGCAGCCCUCCCAGAUGGGUGGUGCGGCGGCCAGAAGGGGAGGAGGGGGUGGCGCACCAACUGGUAGGCCUUAGGCCCACCUGGCUUAGGGUUUGCCCCCCUUUUCUCUCCCUUGCGCAAUGGGUUGAGUGGGGAGGCGCACCAGCCCACCUAGGGGCUGGUUCCGACCCCCACUUGGCCCACCUUACCUCCCGGGGUCGUUGCCCCCCUUCGGUUGUCCCCCGGGGCCACCUCCGGUGGUCUCGGUGGUCCCGGUGACGCCCGAAACACUUCCGGUGUCCGAAACGAUCCGUCCUAUAUAUCAAUCUUUACCUCCGGACCAUUCCGGAGCUCCUCGUGACGUCCGGGAUCUCAUCUGGGACUCCGAACAACUUUCAGUAACCUCGUAUAACAAUUCCCUAUAACCCUAGCGUCAUCGAACCUUAAGUGUGUAGACCCUACGGGUUCGGGAGACAGGCAGACAUGACCGAGACACCUCUCUGGCCAAUAACCAUCAGCGGGGUCUGGAUACCCAUGGUGGCUCCCACUUGCUCCACGAUGAUCUCAUCAGAUGAACCAUGAUGUCAAGGAUUCAAUCAAUCCCGUAUACGAUUCCCUUUGUCUGUCGGUACAGAACUUGCCCGAGAUUCGAUCGUCGGUAUACCUAUACCUUGUUCAAUCUCGUUACUGGUAAGUCUCUUUACUCGUUCCGUAGCACGUCAUCGUGUGACUAACUCCUUAGUCACAUUGAGCUCAUGAUGAUGUUCUACCGAGUGGGCCCAGAGAUACCUCUCCGUCACACGGAGUGACAAAUCCCGAUCUUGAUUCGUACCAACCCAACAGACACUUUCGGAGGUACCCGUAGUGCACCUUUAUAGUCACCCAGUUACGUUGUGACGUUUGAUACACCCAAAGCACUCCUACGGUAUCCGGGAGUUGCACAAUCUCACGGUCGAAGGAAAAGAUACUUGACAUUAGAAAAGCUUUAGCAUAUGAACAAUACGAUCUAGUGCUAUGCUUAGGAUUGGGUCUUGUCCAUCACAUCAUUCUCCCAAUGAUGUGAUCCCGUUAUGAAUGACAUCUAAUGCCCAUGAUCAGGAAACCAUGAUCAUCUAUCGACUAACGAGCUAGCUAACUAGAGGCUUGCUAGGGACACAUUGUGAUCUAUUUAUUCACACAUGUAUUACUGUUUCCUGUUAAUACAAUUAUAGCAUGAACAAUAGACGAUUAUCAUGAACAAGGAAAUAUGAUAAUAACCAUUUUAUUAUUGCCUCUAGGGCAUAUUUCCAACAGUCUCCCACUUGCACUAGAGUCAAUAAUAUAGUUACAUUGUGGUGUAUCGAACACCCAUAGCAUUAUGGUGUUGAUCAUGUUUUGCUCCUGGAAGAGGUUUAGUCAACGGGUCUGCAAUAUUCAGAUCCGUGUGUACUUUACAAAUAUCUAUCACUCCACUCUGGACAUGGUCCUGGAUGGAGUUGUAGCGGCGUUUGAUGUGCUUCGUCUUCCGAUGAAACCUGGGCUCCUUGGCUAUGGCAAUGGCUCAAGUGUUGUCACAGAAGAGUGUCAUAGGACCCGACGCGCUUGGAACCACUCCAAGGUCGGUGAUGAGCUCCUUCAUCCAAAUUCCUUCAUGAGCCACUUCUGAAGCAGCUAUGUACUCCGCUUCACAUGUAGAUGCUGCCAUGACUUCUUGCUUGCUGCUGCACCAGCUCACUGCCCCACCAUUCAACACAUAUACGUAUCCGGUCUGUGACUUGGAGUCAUCCGGAUCUGUGUCGAAGCUAGCGUCAACGUAACCCUUUACGAUGAGCUCUUCGUCACCUCCAUAAACGAGAAACAUUUCCUUAGUCCUUUUCAGGUACUUAAGGAUAUUCUUGACCGCUGUCUAGUGUUCCAUACCGGGAUCACUUUGGUACCUCCCUACCAAACUUAUGGCAAGGUUUAUAUCAGGUCUGGUACA
rnacentral:lncRNA from 1 species